CUCUCAGUAGCUACUCCUGGCAUGCUACAGUGCAACUGAGCAAAAAUAGUCUCUUUGUUUUUUUUCUUAGACGAGUAAUAACAUUUUUUUGGGAGUUUGGUUAGAACCUCUGUGAGGUCAGACUCUUUGGUCUCAAUAUCAUGAGAGUAAACUUGAGACAGCCUUGCAAUGCCUCCAGCUGGCCGCUCUUCAGAAGAUGUUUUACUCCAGGCAGCUGAGGGGGCUGCUUUGUCAAGCAACAAUAAACUUAAAAACAGACAAACAAACAGUGGAAAAGGUAAUGAAUGUGUUUUCGUUUUAAAUAUUCCAACAUCUUUGUAUGAGAUUUGAAUUUUGUUCAAGACAAUAGAUUUGCAAAUGUCAGCAUCCAGGAAGGAAUCUUAAUGGUCUUAUUGGCACCUUGCUGUCACUGUAGAUGCAAACAGAAAUUAGUUGUUAUAAUUAUGUGUCAGCAAAAGCAAUCAGAAACAGAACUUGAGUGAGAUGUGCUAUUUCUUUCCCUGUCAUACAAAAUAAUCAGAGAGCCGGUGUUUCAGUGGCUGGAGUUAGGUUCUUUAGAAAAAGUGACAGUAUAAAUCCUAACAGAUGGAGGUCUUGUCUUGACAGACUAUCCUACAACUUUUGAAGUCCCUUUUGACUUGGUCUAAAGUCUCAUGCAUCAUCCGUAAAGAGCUCUGAAAUGCUUGCUUACCAAAAAGACUGCACAUAAUCACGGAGGACCAAUAUACACAAGCUGACUAAUUUUUACCAUCCCUGACUUCUGCUGAAGAAAUAAUUAGUUUUCAGGCUCAGAGUGUAUAGUCUGGUAAGAAAUUAUAAGUCUGUACAAUAACAGAAGCAACCUUGAAAUUACUAAAUAUUUGCAGAACUUUUAGCAAAUAUACUCUACUGGCUACAGUGAUUACCUGCCUGCUGAAAUGUUUGCAUACUCGCCUGUUUUUAGUAUCACCCUUUGUCUCUUUGGUGUAAUACAAUGUUAAAUCAUUUUUACUGCAAUCUUGUAAAGGACAAUUGUCUGCUGUUUGAGAUACAACAGCUAAAGCUAAGCUUAAUUACAGAGAGAAAAAAAAUGGAAGGGCAGCCCAGAACUGAACAAGAAAUAACUCCACGGGAGCGUUUGCUGUUAGAGGUGACUGUCACAUUGGUAUCAAGGAGUGGCUCCAAGAUAUAUCUCAACCUUCACAUCUCAUUCUGAUUCUUCCUAUUAUACCUGGGUUGAAGCACUGCUACCUCUACUUUGAUUGAGAUUCUUCACAACCUGGAAUUGUCAGAAUUUUUAAGAGCUGAGAGAACAGGAAGAUGAAGCAAAAUUAUUUUAAACUUGGAAACUUUUCAUUUAAAAUUCUGAGACAAAGGAAAGAAAUACAAGAAAACACUGAUACAUAUGGGAGGACUUCUAAUGAUGGACAGUAUGAAAUCCAUAUAGAUAUGUUUUCCUAUUGAAGCUCACACAUGGCAGUGAAAUCCAUUUGUACACAUUUUACUAGUAACCAAGCAACCCGUAUAUCAGUUAUACCAACGUAAACAGGCCUACUGUCACUUCUAUUGGAGAGGCAUUUUUUAGGUUAUUUCCUGGACUUCUUAAGGCUGACAACAUUUGAGAGCUUACGAUUAUAUGUCACAUUCAAAAUGUAUUGAUGAUAAAUAUUUGAAAAUUUAUUUAACUUUUUGGCUGGUAUAAAAGAGAUCUAAUCAUAAACACCCCAUGUGAUGAGUACAACUGCAAGUCUUUUUUUUUUUUUUUGGUCCAGCAGCUCUGUAGUUUCUAGAUCUAAUCCCCUAUGGAAUAUAGAAUAUAAAAUGUCACAGCAUAUUGGUAUGGCUUCAGGCCUUUCUCUUUCCUUUGCAGUUAUAGCAAUCAAAGAGCCAAAGGAUGAAAGGAUUUAAAUGUUCCAAUAUCCAUCUUCUUUGACACUGCCCUUCUCUCUAGAUUUUUUCCUAGGUUGGAUUGAAUUAAGGUCUUAUCUGGGAAGACCCAAAUUUCAG
rnacentral:lncRNA from 1 species